UACGUAGGGGGCAAGCGUUGUCCGGAAUCAUUGGGCGUAAAGCGCGUGUAGGCGGCCCGAUAAGUCCGCUGUGAAAGUCUAGGGCUCAACCCUGGAAUGCCGGUGGAUACUGUCGGGCUCGAGUCCGGAAGAGGCGAGUGGAAUUCCUGGUGUAGCGGUGAAAUGCGCAGAUAUCAGGAGGAACACCGAUGGCGAAGGCAGCUCGCUGGGACGGUACUGACGCUGAGACGCGAAAGCGUGGGGAGCAAACAGG
rnacentral:rRNA from 1 species